AUCUAGAAAGCUAAGACCAUUAGGUUAUAGGCCAACAAAAUAUGUGACAUGUUAUAGUAGCUAUAAUGUAAAUGAUUUCAAAUUUUACAUGCAGCAAUAUAGAGAACAUAAAAGUAUAAUGAACAGUGAUGUAUGUAUAAAAGACAGCUGGUGGACAAACGUGGAGAGUGACUACUAUGGAAUCCUCGAAGAAAUGAUCAAGUUGACCUACCCCUU
rnacentral:lncRNA from 1 species